rnacentral:rRNA from 1 species
CACGUAGGGGGCAAGCGUUGUCCGGAUUCAUUGGGCGUAAAGAGCUCGUAGGCGGUUCGAUAAGUCGGGUGUGAAACCUCCAGGCUCAACCUGGAGACGCCACCCGAUACUGUCGUGACUAGAGUCCAGUAGGGGAGCGUGGAAUUCCUGGUGUAGCGGUGAAAUGCGCAGAUAUCAGGAGGAACACCAGCGGCGAAGGCGGCGCUCUGGGCUGGAACUGACGCUGAGACGCGAAAGCGUGGGGAGCGAACAGG